rnacentral:rRNA from 1 species
AACGAACGCUGGCGGCAUGCCUAACACAUGCAAGUCGAACGAGACCUUCGGGUCUAGUGGCGCACGGGUGCGUAACGCGUGGGAACCUGCCCUUAGGUUCGGAAUAACUCCCCGAAAGGGGUGCUAAUACCGGAUAAUUUCUUCGGACCAAAGAUUUAUCGCCUUUGGAUGGGCCCGCGUUGGAUUAGCUAGUUGGUAGGGUAAAAGCCUACCAAGGCGACGAUCCAUAGCUGGUCUGAGAGGAUGAUCAGCCACACUGGGACUGAGACACGGCCCAGACUCCUACGGGAGGGAGCAGUGGGGAAUAUUGGACAAUGGGCGAAAGCCUGAUCCAGCAAUGCCGCGUGAGUGAUGAAGGCCUUAGGGUUGUAAAGCUCUUUUACCCGGGAUGAUAAUGACAGUACCGGGAGAAUAAGCUCCGGCUAACUCCGUG